rnacentral:rRNA from 1 species
UGGGGAAUUUUGGACAAUGGGCGAAAGCCUGAUCCAGCAAUGCCGCGUGUGUGAAGAAGGCCUUCGGGUUGUAAAGCACUUUUGUCCGGAAAGAAAUCCUUGGCUCUAAUACAGUCGGGGGAUGACGGUACCGGAAGAAUAAGCACCGGCUAACUACGUGCCAGCAGCCGCGGUAAUACGUAGGGUGCAAGCGUUAAUCGGAAUUACUGGGCGUAAAGCGUGCGCAGGCGGUUUGCUAAGACCGAUGUGAAAUCCCCGGGCUCAACCUGGGAACUGCAUUGGUGACUGGCAGGCUAGAGUAUGGCAGAGGGGGGUAGAAUUCCACGUGUAGCAGUGAAAUGCGUAGAGAUGUGGAGGAAUACCGAUGGCGAAGGCAGCCCCCUGGGCCAAUACUGACGCUCAUGCACGAAAGCGUGGGGGAGCAAACAGGAUUAGAUACCCUGGUAGUCCACGCCCUAAACGAUGUCAACUAGUUGUUGGGGAUUCAUUUCCUUAGUAACGUAGCUAACGCGUGAAGUUGACCGCCUGGGGAGUACGGUCGCAAAGAUUAAAAGCUUCAAAUGAAUUGACGGGGUCAUAGCUGUUUCC